UUCUCUUCAACGUCAGAGAAACUCUUUCCAUUCCCUAGUUCUUAGUUCUGCGUCUUCAAGCCAAGGAGGAGGAGGAGCCGUGAGCAUCAUCUUGCUUGGCCAUCAUCCACCUUGUGCCAUAGCCUUGAGGAGUCUUGCUUUCAAGAUCUUCAAAGUUCAACGUCUCAAGUGUUCAUCUCAUCCCUUUCACGGUGGUUAAAUUGUGUCCUACUUUUAGCAUGUCACAUCUUACUUUUGAUCCAAGUUGUUCUUGCUGUCCUAAUUGUCCAGAAACUCUGCUACAUUUACGUAUAGAUUGCCCCAUGGCUCAACUUAUCUGGAAUAAGAUUAUUUGCUCUGACUCAAUUGCUAGGACUUGGAACCUAGAUUGGAAUGGCUGGUUACAUGCUAACACUCACUGCAAACUUCGUUGUUAUGGUGGUCUGAUGUGGUGUCGGAUAGGGAUAACCAUCGGGUUUGGAAUUGAGUGGCUCACAUCAAGAUCGAAAAAAGCGAAAGAAGAGAGAAGAAAGAAAAGAGGGAUAGAAGAGGGGAAGAUCUCGGUGAGUAGACAGUGUGGAAGGAGAUCAAGAUCAGAAAAAGGAGAGGAAGAGAAAAGAAAGUCGUGAUAGGCAUAACCGUCGGGUUUGGAACUGAGUCGCUCACAUCAAAAAAAGAUCUCGGCGACAAUAGACCGGCUGGAAGUCUGUAUAAAACGUCAAGCAUUGAGACACAAAAGAGAAGAUGGCAAAUCAGUUUGCGUUCCUUUUGGAGAAGGAGUUUUGGUUGGAGUUUAAACUUUUUGGUGGUCAACUGGUCAUAGAGUGCUGAUCAACAUGGUUAAGCCUUUUGACAAAGGAUGAUAUGUGCGAUUGUUUUGGUUGCCUGUUUCUCACGAGAAAACUAUGUCACAAGAUCUGGAGUUGGAAUUGCAUUUUGCAGUCAUGUCUCUAUGAACAUUGCUGGGCAAUGCUUAUGUGGAGUUGGAAUUGCUUUUUUUUUUUUUUUGUAUGUCAGAAAACUAUGUCACAAGAUCUGGAGUUGGAAUUGCUUUUUGCAAUCAUGUCUCUAUGAACCUUUCAUGGCAAUGCUUAUGUGGAAGCUGAAAGUAUUGAGAAUGGUAUUAGUGUUCUGAACAAAGAUGAACUUCAUAAAACACAUAGGCAAAGGGUGAUGGCCAAAUAGGAAGAGGGUCAGUCUUCUCACAAGAAUCCUGUAUCUGUUCAGUUGAGUAUCCAAUUACUUGCUAUUUUAAUCAGAAUUUUAAGAAUUUACACAUUAUAUUGAUAAAGACGAGGUUGGAGUUUACCUGGAAUGAAUGAAAUUUAGCUGAAUUUGCAGGUACUAAAAGCUUUGAAAAUGACGGAGAAUCAAGGCCAUGAGUUUUUGAAAUCCUAGAACAGGGACUUGAACCAGCAAAUUUUUUAGGAACUAGAUGAAAUUUGAUUGGUUUUUAAUUUUUAUUUUUCUCUCUCUCUCCUCUUAUUGCUCUCUGGUGGCUAGAAAUUUGAUUUGUGAAGUCUAAAAUGAACGAAGGUCGCUGCAUGCAUGUCAUUGAAAGAAACUUGAGUGGAGUCAGACAUAAUUGUUGGGCAGUUGUUGUAACCUGGGGGGUUACCCCAAAUUGAUUUAGUUAGGUCUUGAGGAUUACAAUUAUUUUAUGUAUGAAGCGUGAGAGAUUCCAAAGCGUCUUAUCAGAGGACUGAUUAACUCAUUAUAAUCUUUAGUUUGCUCCAUUAUUGUCAUUGCAAGGAAUGCCCUGAGAAAUGUAAGGAAGCUGUUGCAUUACUAAUGGUUGCUGCAGCUAGAUUUUCUGAUUUACCAGAAUACGUUGGCUGACAUUAGGCAACUAUUUCAAGAGAGAUAUGCUAACUCUCUGGCUUAUUGUGUGGAUCAAAGUUUUUCAUGUGCUCUACUGCAUCACAACCUCAGAUUUGAGAAGGCACAAGAUUCAGGAAGGUUUAGGUAUGCAAGGGAUACAUCAUUCAGAAAGAGUCAUUUGAACUUCUGGAGCCAGUCAUCAGUUUUCCUUUGCAUUGUGUGCUUCUUCAGACAGUUUUUCGGGCAGUUACUAUGAGUACCUGACUCUGAGGCAUGGUUUUAUCUCGGCACAUUUAGCACCUGAGAUCAUUUAUUCUCAUGCUAAUGGGUGAGAGGAGGAUUUGGCAAAGGACUGGAAACUGCACUCGAAGCAUCUUUGUUGUACCUUACGAUUUUCUGAGGAGGUGAAACUAGUCACCCGAGACCAUAGAAAGGCAUAGAUGGACGGGGAGAUAUGAAGCUCAUUUAUGGAACAAAGGAUCUUGGAAUCCAAGACAAAGCAAGAAGGGAAAACAGGGCUUAUGACGAAGAAGAAUCCACAGCAAAAGUAUGAGUUGGCAGCACUCAAGUAGCGGGGAACAUCAACUUCUACAAAUUGAUCUGUUGAACGCUAACAAAAAGAAGAGUACUUGCCUCUCUAAGAAGCUAUUUAUUCAUCUUCAAAUUAAUAAGCAGUUAAGCAGCCUACCUUAACUGUUGUAAAAAUUUCAAGAGAUGAAUUUGAUCUAUCUAUUUACUAAUUAUUUGAUAGCUUUUUGUUCAAACAUGUUAAAUAUCAAUGUCAUACAAAAUUGCUCUCUAUAAAUGAGUGGAUGUAAAAUGACACGUCUUCAAUUUUUCAUUUCUGUUUGAUUAAGUAUUUACUA